rnacentral:rRNA from 1 species
GCAAGUCGAGCGGUAGAAGAAUUUAGCUUGCUAAUAUUUUUGAGAGCGGCGAACGGGUGAGUAACACGUUGGUAUCUGCCCCCAAGUCAGGGAUAGCCAUUGGAAACGAUGAUUAAUACCGGAUAGUCUCUUCGGAGUAAAGAUUUAUUGCUUGGGGAGGAACCUGCGUUCUAUCAGCUUGUUGGUGAGGUAAAAGCUCACCAAGGCUAUGACGGAUAGCUGGUCUGAGAGGAUGAUC